rnacentral:lncRNA from 1 species
AAAGACCUCGGGAUAGUUUUGGACCUUAAGGCCCAAUGGGCUUUGAACGUCAAGCCCAUUGACUUAAGUUGUAUGACAACUUAAUGAAUAAUGAUUCACAAAGGCCUAAAAGGCCCAAUGAAACCCCAAGGCUGGCCAUGAUGCUUUUGGAGUGGGUUUUGGACUUAUUUACAAGUUUGCCACUCCAAUGAAUUAAGGUAUAAAUAUGACUUUAUAGCCAAAAUUCAUUUAGGGUUUGUUUUGGAGAAAAUUGGAGAGAACAUGUCU